UUUUAUUUUUAUUUAAGAGUGUUGUUCUGCUUCACUGCUCAAAAGUCACAUCUAUAAUUCACACAAAGCAUUAUGGGUUGUAGAAAUAAGGUGGAUUCAACUCCUCCCUCCUGAACCACCAGAUAUUGCAGGUUAUGCUGUAUUAUGUUAUGAAGGAAACAUUUAGAGACAUCUCUCUGUGCUGUUAGACUAAAGUGAUGAAAUAGUUUCUUUUAUUAUUGAUGAUGAAAGUGGGAUUCUGCUCUAACAAUGAAAUGAGAAAAGCAGCAAAAUAUCCUGGGACUAAUAAGUCAGAGUGAAGGCAAAACAAUAAAUCUCAAACUAUUGUGAAAUUAUCAGUGCAAAGUUCAUAAUCCAACUGGUUGACACACCUUAAAGUGACAAAGUCCUUAAAAUGAAGUUUCAAAGAUAUGAUCAGUUAUGUUUUCUAGACGCCACAGGAAAUAAAAACAUCAGUAGAAAUGAACAGAGAGUCUUUGUAAAUCUGAACCCAAUUUAAAUAUGAUCCUAUUUCUAGUGAUGAGGAAACCUCCCAGUUAUUUUACACAAUAACAAAAAUAAAUGUACCUUCUGCCAUCAAAAAUGAACUAUUAAACAAAGGUUGCACUGCUUCCUUUUGCAAUAAUAAGUUUCCAUUGUUUUUUCUUCUACUGGCUACAAAUUCUUCAUUUAACUGAGAUCCUGCUGUAAAACUUUAUAUAUAUAUAGCUCUGUAUAUUAUCUUCCUUUAUCAUUUUGACAGCUAGGUUUUGAAAGAAAAUAAACCAUCCCAAGUAUUUCCUACACAUCGUGAACGCAGCAUCUACCUGGGCAUAACCAAAACAGAAAGAGAAAUUAUUUAGUUUGUCUCAUUCAAACAGCAAAGUAAGGUUAGAAAACGUCAAAGAAGCUGUAAGUAUCCUGGGAACAUCCUUAAUGUAACAGCUCAGGGUUGCUGAAAGGUGUAAAGGAUUGUAAGAUAAAACUCUAAUGUCAAAGACAGAGAUUUUUCUAUCUGAUUGAAGCUGCUGGAGAUCUGCAAAAAUCUGAGAUGAUCUACCAGGUUGUGGUUGGAGGAAUAGAUGGAGUUAAGAUCACGAUUGACCUCUGUGACAAUGAGGAGGAGAUGCAGAGAAUCACGGUGGCAGAGCUGAAGGACAAGAUAUUUGAGAAAUUCCUUGGAAUCAGUGAGUGUCCAGAAUUGAUGUUUGGGAAUAUGACAUUGAAUGACGACAGAAAGAGGCUGGUUGAUUAUGGAAUCGUGCACAUGUCCAAGAUAAACAUGGUUUUAAACACAGUUGAUGCAGGAGAGCCUGAACUGGACUUUACUGCCGAUGGGAUGGGAGAUAAAGAGGAUGAAACUCGGAGAAGUAAAGAGAUUAUGUUUAAUCUUUAAAACUCAAAAUACAUUUUUGGGUCCAAAGUGCUUCAUUCCACACAUUGAAAUAUUUCAAGCAUUAACUAGAAUCACAUCCCUCCUCAUUCUCAUUUAAACUCUUUUAAGUAACCAAAAUAUUUCCCACUUCCUGCCACAUUGUCUGUGUUCAGUAUUUUAUCUAAAGAUCAGCAGAAAUAUUCUUUGUUUCUGGUUAUUUUCAGUGAGUCAAACAGAGAAAAUAUUUGUGAAGCAACUUUACCAAGCUUGUGUUUUGUAUUAAUAAACUAAAUGUGGGAUUUUAAAA